rnacentral:tRNA from 1 species
GUGCCUGUAGCUCAGUGGAUAGAGCGUUGGCCUGCGGAGCCAAAGGUCAGAGGUUCGAACCCUCUCAGGCACGCCG